CAGCGCCGCGGUAAUACGUAGGGUGCAAGCGUUAAUCGGAAUUACUGGGCGUAAAGCGUGCGCUGGCGGUUUGUUAAGACAGAUGUGAAAUCCCCGGGCUCAACCUGGGAACUGCAUUUGUGACUGGCAGGCUAGAGUAUGGCAGAGGGGGGUGGAAUUCCGCGUGUAGCAGUGAAAUGCGUAGAUAUGCGGAGGAACACCGAUGGCGAAGGCAGCCCCCUGGGCCAAUACUGACGCUCAUGCACGAAAGCGUGGGGAGCAAACAGGAUUAGAUACCCGUGUAGUCCCUGUCUCUUAUACA
rnacentral:rRNA from 1 species